AAUAGAUACCCCGGUAGUCCCAGCCGUAAACGAUGGAUACUAGGUGUUGGGGGUAUCGACCCCCCCAGUGCCGCAGCUAACGCAUUAAGUAUCCCGCCUGGGGAGUACGGCCGCAAGGUUGAAAUUCAAAGGAAUUGACGGGGGCCCGCACAAGCGGUGGAGCAUGUUGUUUAAUACGUCACUAACCGUAGAACCUUACCAGGGCUUGACAUCUGACGACAACCUAUGAAAGUAGGCCUUCCCCGCAAGGGGACGUCAAGACAGGUGUUGCAUGGCUGUCGUCAGCUCGUGUCGUGAGAUGUUGGGUUAAGUCCCGCAACGAGCGCAACCCUCACCCCAUGUUGCCAUCGGGUCAUGCCGGGAACUCUUGGGGAACUGCCUGGGUAACCGGGAGGAAGGUGGGGAUGACGUCAAGUCAGCAUGGCCCUUACGGCCCUGGGCUACAAACAUGCUACAAUGGACGGUAGACAAAGGGAUCCGAGACCGCGAGGUGGAGGCAAUCUCAAAAAUCCGUUCCCAGUUCAGAUUGUAGGCUGCAACUCGCCUACA
rnacentral:rRNA from 1 species